UACGAAGGGGGCUAGCGUUGCUCGGAAUCACUGGGCGUAAAGCGCACGUAGGCGGUUCGUUAUGUCGGAUGUGAAAGCCCUUGGCUUAACCGAGGAAGUGCAUCCGAAACUGGCGAGCUAGAGUACGAAAGAGGAUCGCGGAAUUCCCGGUGUAGAGGUGAAAUUCGUAGAUAUCGGGAGGAACACCAGUGGCGAAGGCGGCGACCUGGACGGACACUGACGCUGAGACGCGAAAGCGUGGGGAGCAAACAGG
rnacentral:rRNA from 1 species